rnacentral:rRNA from 1 species
UGAGUAUGCGUCCCAUUAGCUAGAUGGUAAGGUAACGGCUUACCAUGGCAAUGAUGGGUAGGGGUCCUGAGAGGGAGAUCCCCCACACUGGUACUGAGACACGGACCAGACUCCUACGGGAGGCAGCAGUGAGGAAUAUUGGACAAUGGGCGCAAGCCUGAUCCAGCCAUGCCCGCGUGCAGGAAUAAGGUCCUAUGGAUUGUAAACUGCUUUUAUACAGGAAGAAACACACCCUCGUGAGGGUACUUGACGGUACUGUAUGAAUAAGGACCGGCUAACUCCGUG